rnacentral:rRNA from 1 species
GCAUUCAUCUGACUGUGAUUCGAUAGCGUAGGCAGGUUGCUAAAUCUGUUACUGACGCUGAGUGCACGAAAGCGUGGGGAGCAAACAGGAUUAGAUACCCUGGUAGUCCCCGCCCUAAACGAUGAUCACUAGCUAUUGGAAAAACGAUAUUCGCUGGCUCAGCGAAAGCGAUAAGUGAUCCACCUGGGAAGUAUAGUCGCAAGAUUGAAACUCAAAGGAAUUGACGGGGGUUCGCACAAGCGGUGGAGCAUGUGGUUUAAUUCGAGAUACGCGAGGAACCUUACCAAGGCUUAAAUGUAUUACGAAUAAGCUGGAAACAGCUUACUCUAUACGACGUUUUACAAGGUGCUGCAUGGUUGUCUUCAGUUCGUGCUGUGAAGUGUUUGGUUAAGUCCUAUAACGAGCGCAACCCCUAUUGUUAGUUGCCAUCGGGUAAAGCUGGGGACUCUAACAAAACUGCCUGUGUAAACUGUGAGGAAGGUGGGGAUGAUGUCAAAUCAUCGUGGCCUCUAUGCCUUGGGCUACACACGUUCUACA